UACAUGGACACAACACAACACAAGCACUUGUUGGCCAUCAGGCCGAUGCCACCACCAGGUGCAAGUCUUGAUGGGCGUCACCAUCCUCCAGCGACGGUGGUGUUGGUGGGGCGAACUCGACCCCAAGGAGCUCCGCCAGCGCCCGCGUAUGGCUGGCUGAGAGAGGCUUGUUGAAGACCUCCGACAGUCGUGGACUUCGCCUUGGCUUGAAGUCGUGGGGCAGUGUCGCUCGCGUGCGGCGAGCCGGCGGGGACGGGAGUGGCGGACGACUGAUCAGAGGAGGUUGCAUUUGAACCGUGACCUUGUCGACGAAGGAGGCGAUCUGGAGUUUGGUGGCGGUGCAGUAAGGGAUAAAUGGGCCUCGUCGUCGGUCGGCCCAUUAGGGGCCCCCAACGGCCUAUUGUUGUAGGCCGUCGUGUUGCCGUUUUCUGGUGGCCUAUCAUCUUGGGCUGCCGAAGAGUUGUCCUCAAUCGGCCGCACGGAAUUGGCCGGUAGCCUGCAGCCCACCGCGUCGGCCCGUCUCCUGCGAAAGACAAGCAACCCACUAGCCGGAACGGUCGGCACGCUCCCGAGCGCGUCUACCGUUGAAUUUCCCGCGCCAUUGGUGUGCACCAGCACCGAGGUGAAGAUUUGCUCGCGCAGAGCGAUCUCCUGUUCAGGCCGCCUUAAUGGCCCCUGCAUGCCGUUUGGCCUGGUUGGAGGCAUAGCAAUGGAGAUGGAGAACGCCGCUUCUCCACAACCGCCUCCUUCCCCCCCCCCCCCCC